GCAAACUUGGUCAUUUAGAGGAAGUAAAAGUCGUAACAAGGUCUCCGUAGGUGAACCUGCGGAGGGAUCAUUACCGAGUGAGGGCCUCCGGGUCCGACCUCCAACCCUUUGAUUUAACCAACUCUUGUUGCCUCGGGGGCGACCCGGUCGCGUCGGCCUUGUGGCCCGACGUCGGCGUCGGGGCCCCCGACCGGCCCUGUCACAACUCUGCAUCUUUGCGUCGGGUUGAUCAGAAAAUCAAUUAAAACUUUCAACAACGGAUCUCUUGGUUCUGGCAUCGAUGAAGAACGCAGC
rnacentral:misc_RNA from 1 species